UAGUAGUAGUUAUGUUCUUGAAAAUUAAAAAAGUUGGCGGUAUUUUAGUCUAUUUAGAGGAACCUGUCCUGUGAUCGAUAAUCCACGAUUUGAUUUACUUAUUGUUUUAGUUUGCAUAUCGCCGUAGGUUGAAUAUUUUUAAAGAAUUAGUAAUAUUCAAUAAGUUGAUAAGAAAAAAAUUCAGGUCAAGAUGUAGCGUAUAAAUAAGAAGAGAUGGGUUACAAUAAAUAUAUUUAUGAUGAAUUAAUAAAUUUAAUUUUAUAAUGAAGGUGGAUUUAAAGGUAAU
rnacentral:rRNA from 1 species